UUGCGGGGUGGAGAAACGGUAUCUCGUCGGGCUCAUAACCCGAAGAUAGCAGGUUCAAUUCCUGCCCCCGCAAG
rnacentral:tRNA from 1 species